UGGAUGAUGUGGUUAAUUCGAUGCAACGCGAAAACCUUACCACCUUUGACAUGUACGGAAUCCUUUAGAGAUAGAGGAGUGCUCGAAAGAGAACCGUAACACAGGUGCUGCAUGGCUGUCGUCAGCUCGUGUCGUGAGAUGUUGGGUUAAGUCCCGCAACGAGCGCAACCCUUGCCAUUAGUUGCUACAUUCAGUUGGGCACUCUAAUGAGACUGCCGGUGACAAACCGGAGGAAGGUGGGGAUGACGUCAAGUCCUCAUGGCCCUUAUAGGUGGGGCUACACACGUCAUACAAUGGAUGGUACAAAGGGUCGCCAACCCGCGAGGGGGAGCCAAUCCCAUAAAGCCAUUCGUAGUCCGGAUCGCAGUCUGCAACUCGACUGCGUGAAGUCGGAAUCGCUAGUAAUCGUGGAUCAGAAUGUCACGGUGAAUACGUUCCCGGGUCUU
rnacentral:rRNA from 1 species